CACCGCGCUGGUCGGACUUGGUUUAACGACAGCGGCGCGGGAAGAGCGGGGGACUGUGGGAUAGGUCUGAAACACCCCGAUGCGGCGGCGAAGGCAGCACCGCAGACCGAAAAGGCUACCGGGU
rnacentral:ncRNA from 1 species